GAGGAAUAUUGGUCAAUGGACGAGAGUCUGAACCAGCCAAGUAGCGUGAAGGAUGAAGGUUCUAUGGAUUGUAAACUUCUUUUAUACGGGAAUAAACGAAUCCACGCGUGGAUUUUUGCAUGUACCGUAUGAAUAAGGAUCGGCUAACUCCGUGCCAGCAGCCGCGGUAAUACGGAGGAUCCGAGCGUUAUCCGGAUUUAUUGGGUUUAAAGGGAGCGUAGAUGGGUUGUUAAGUCAGUUGUGAAAGUUUGCGGCUCAACCGUAAAAUUGCAAUUGAUACUGGCAGUCUUGAGUACAGUUGAGGUAGGCGGAAUUCGUGGUGUAGCGGUGAAAUGCUUAGAUAUCACGAAGAACUCCGAUUGCGAAGGCAGCUUACUAACCUGUAACUGACAUUGAUGCUCGAAAGUGUGGGUAUCAAACAGGAUUAGAUACCCUGGUAGUCCACACGGUAAACGAUGAAUACUCGCUGUAGGCGAUAUACGGUCUGCGGCCAAGCGAAAGCAUUAAGUAUUCCACCUGGGGAGUACGCCGGCAACGGUGAAACUCAAAGGAAUUGACGGGGGCCCGCACAAGCGGAGGAACAUGUGGUUUAAUUCGAUGAUACGCGAGGAACCUUACCCGGGCUUAAAUUGCAACCGAAUAUGGCGGAAACGCCAUAGCUAGCAAUAGCGGUUGCGAAGGUGCUGCAUGGUUGUCGUCAGCUCGUGCCGUGAGGUGUCGGCUUAAGUGCCAUAACGAGCGCAACCCUUGCCGAUAGUUACUAACAGGUUAUGCUGAGGACUCUGUCGGGACUGCCAUCGUAAGAUGUGAGGAGGGUGGGGAUGACGUCAAAUCAGCACGGCCCUUACGUCCGGGGCUACACACGUGUUACAAUGGGGGGUACAGAGGGCUGCUACCACGCAAGUGGAUGCCAAUCCCAAAAACCUCUCUCAGUUCGGAUUGAAGUCUGCAACCCGACUUCAUGAAGCUGGAUUCGCUAGUAAUCGCGCAUCAGCCACGGCGCGGUGAAUACGUUCCCG
rnacentral:rRNA from 1 species